GUGUUCACUUCAGCAGCACAUUUACUAAAAUUGGAAUGAUACAGAGAUUAGCAUGGCCCCUGUGCAAGGGUAACAUGUGUUCUAUAUUAAAAAAUAUAUAUAAGA